GACGAACGCUGGCGGCGUGCUUAACACAUGCAAGUCGAACGGAAAGGCCCUGCUUUUGUGGGGUGCUCGAGUGGCGAACGAGUGAGUAACACGUGAGUAACCUGCCCUUGACUUUGGGAUAACUUCAGGAAACUGGGGCUAAUACCGGAUAGGAGCUCCUGCUGCAUGGUGGGGGUUGGAAAGUUUCGGCGGUUGGGGAUGGACUCGCGGCUUAUCAGCUUGUUGGUGGGGUAGUGGCUUACCAAGGCUUUGACGGGUAGCCGGCCUGAGAGGGUGACCGGCCACAUUGGGACUGAGAUACGGCCCAGACUCCUACGGGAGGCAGCAGUGGGGAAUGUUGCACAAUGGGCGGAAGCCUGAUGCAGCAACGCCGCGUGCUGGAUGACGGCCUUCGGGUUGUAAACCGCUUUCGCCUGUGACGAAGCGUGAGUGACGGUAAUGGGUAAAGAAGCACCGGCUAACUACGUG
rnacentral:rRNA from 1 species